rnacentral:rRNA from 1 species
ACGGCGAGUGAAGAGGAAAGAGCUCAAAGUUGGAACCUGUUUGGCUUAGCUAAACCGGAUUGUAAACUGUAGAAACAUUUUCCAGGCACGCUAGACAAAAAAGUCCUUUGGAACAGGGCAUCAUAGAGGGUGAGAAUCCCGUCUUAAUCUAAGUAGUUGUCUAUUUGUGAUAUGUUUUCAAAGAGUCAGGUUGUUUGGGAAUGCAGCCUAAAUUGGGUGGUAAAUCUCACCUAAAGCUAAAUAUUUGCGAGAGACCGAUAGCGAACAAGUACCGUGAGGGAAAGAUGAAAAGAACUUUGAAAAGAGAGUUAAACAGUAUGUGAAAUUGUUAAAAGGGAACCGUUUGGAGCCAGACUGGCUUGACUGUAAUCAUCCUACUUUUUUUGUGGGUGCACUUGCGGUCUUUGCCUGCCAACAACAGUUUGAUUUGGAGGAAAAAAAUAUUUGGAAUGUGGCCUUUUUCGGAAGGUGUUAUAGCCUUUUAUAUCAUACUCUGGAUUGGACUGAGGAUCGCAGUUAUUGUUUCCGCUUGUUUUUCUUUUGCUGAUAAAUGUUAAAAUUUCUGCUUAGGGUGGUGUUAAUGUUUAAAGGUAAAACUAGGAUGAGUAUUGUGAUAACUUAGGU